CAUUACAUGACAGUACUAAGUGUGCAACUCAUUACCAUUUCAGACAUUUUAUCGCUCGUUAAGUAACACCUGCCUGGCAUUAAAGUUUUAAUAAGUUGAAACAAUAGCAACAUAGCAAGAUGUGCCUUUCGCUCGAUUGUGACGAUUGUUGCUGCCUGGCCGCUCUCACUUUUUGUUUACUACCCUGCUGUUGUUCGAAAAGGCAAGAACAACAACCACCGCAGACCGUCAUCAUCCAACAGCCUCCUGUAGUAGUAGAACAGCCACCUCCACCUAAUUACCCCUAUCCUCAGCCUGGAGGGUAUCCGUACCCCCCGCAAGGUUACCCUGGUUAUCCUCCUCAAGGUUAUCCUCAACAAUACCCGUCGGGGCCAAUGGCUAGAUGAUCGAGUUUUAGUGUAAUUUAAAUCUUAUAGUCUAACAUUAUAAGUAAGGAUGGGGUGUAAUAUGUCAGUCCGUCCGUGUUGCUGCUGUUGUAUCCCUUGUCUAUGCAUCGACUGCUGUACGGAACGUCCAAAACCUAACGUGGUCAAUGUCGUCCACGUAGUACAACCCAACUCUAGAGGUGAUCCACCUCCAAUCUAUAACGGACGGUGACUUUAAAGAAAUAUCGAUUUCAUAAAACGUAUACCUACUAUUUUUUAAUAUUAUGUGUGUAUGUGUUAUACAUAUGUUUAGGCACCAAUAUUAAGACGCAUUAAUUGUGCACAUACAAUAUUAUUUACUAGCAUAUCUGUUUUAUUACUCUGGAAAACAAAUUAAAAAUAAAAUUUAAGUAUUUUUUAUACAACAACUAUAGACAAAUUAUAUUAGAUUUUUUGAAUAGAUUGAUAUUUGAUAGAAUAUUACUUACAUUUCUGUAAACCCAUCUUAACAUGUUUAAUAAACUAUCGCCGAGUUGCACGAAUGA